rnacentral:rRNA from 1 species
AUUGAACGCUGGCGGCAUGCUUUACACAUGCAAGUCGAACGGUAACAGGCCGCAAGGUGCUGACGAGUGGCGAACGGGUGAGUAAUGCAUCGGAACGUGCCCAGUCGUGGGGGAUAACGCAGCGAAAGCUGCGCUAAUACCGCAUACGAUCUAUGGAUGAAAGCGGGGGACCGAAAGGCCUCGCGCGAUUGGAGCGGCCGAUGUCAGAUUAGGUAGUUGGGGGGGUAAAGGCUCACCAAGCCGACGAUCUGUAGCUGGUCUGAGAGGACGACCAGCCACACUGGGACUGAGACACGGCCCAGACUCCUACGGGAGGCAGCAGUGGGGAAUUUUGGACAAUGGGCGCAAGCCUGAUCCAGCAAUGCCGCGUGCAGGAAGAAGGCCUUCGGGUUGUAAACUGCUUUUGUACGGAACGAAAAGGCUCUGGUUAAUACCUGGGGCUCAUGACGGUACCGUAAGAAUAAGCACCGGCUAACUACGUGCCAGCCGCCGCCGUAACAC